CACAUGAUUAUCUCAUGGAUACUGUAGUAAUUCUAGAGCUAAUACAUGCCUCGAUGCCCUGAUCCGUGAGGUGAGGGGUGCAUUUAUUAGAUCACAAAUCAAACGGGCUUGCUCGUGGUUUGUGGUGACUCUGGAUAACUUUGUAUGAUCGCAGCUGGCCUUUGUUGUCGGCGACGGAUUCAUUAAAUGUCUGCCCUAUCAACUUUCGAUGGUAGGUGAUAUGCCUACCAUGGUUUUGACGGGUAACGGGGAAUCAGGGUUCGAUUCCGGAGAGGGAGCCUGAGAAACGGCUACCACAUCCAAGGAAGGCAGCAGGCGCGCAAAUUACCCACUCUCUGAACGAGGAGGUAGUGAAGAUAAAUAUCGAUACAGAUCUCAUUGAGGCUCUGUAAUCGAAAUGAGAGAUUUUUAAAUCCUACAACGAGGAUCAAUUGGAGGGCAAGUCUGGUGCCAGCAGCCGCGGUAAUUCCAGCUCCCAAAGCAUAUAUUAAAAUUGCUGCAGUUAAAAAACUCGUAGUUGGAUCUGGAUUAUGAUGUGAUUGCUAUGCUUGGUGUCGUUCCGCGUUUUCGUGGUUCAGCGCUGGCUGGUUGUUUUGCAUCUAGUCUCAUAGCUGUGUCUGUGCGGCCUUCACUGGUCGUGUGGAUGAUGUUGAAUGUCUGGUAUUGACCCCUUUUAUUGGGGGUUGGUCCGGUUCAGUGUUAUGUUCUGUGUAUGCCCUUAACCGGGUGUCCAGGGCGGACAGCAUGUUUACUUUGAACAAAUUUGAGUGCUCAAAGCAGGCCACUUACUGCCUGAAAAGUCUUGCAUGGAAUAAUGAAAUAGGACUUCGGUACUAUUUUGUUGGUUUGACAGAACUGAAGUAAUGAUAAAAAGAGACUGACGGGGGCAUUUGUAUGGCGGCGCUAGAGGUGAAAUUCGUGGACCGUCGCCAGACAACCUAAAGCGAAAGCAUCUGCCAAGUAUGUUUUCAUUUACCAGGAGCGAAAGUCAGAGGUUCGAAGACGAUCAGAUACCGUCCUAGUUCUGACCAUAAACGAUGCCAACUGACGAUCCGUGACUACUCUAGCUCAUGAGUACACGGGCAGUCCCCGGGAAACCCUGUAAGUCUAUGGUUCCGGAAAGA
rnacentral:rRNA from 1 species